GCAGACAUAGUUUAAAAAAAAAUAUUAGAUUGUGAUUCUAAAGACAGACGUUAGACCCCCUCUUGUCCGCC
rnacentral:tRNA from 1 species